UUAACGCUUGGUGUCUCUCAGCUCCGUGUCAGUCGGUGCAGAAGCAGCAAGAUGCUGUGGCAGACUCAGCUCCUCUGGCUCCUCGUGCUCUGGGCAAAGGGCUCCAGCGGGGACAUCGUCAUCACUCAGACUCCAGAGUCCCUGGCAGUGUCUCCAGGGGACACAGUCACCAUCAAGUGCAAAACCAGCUCCAGCGUUAGCAGCAACAUGGCCUUGUACCAGCAGAAACCAGGGCAGGCUCCUAAGUGCCUUCUAUAUGGCACAAACAGCCGCCCCUCGGGGAUCCCUGACCGGUUCAGUGGCAGUGGGUCUGGCACUGACUUCACUUUCACGAUCAGCCGGGUGGAAGCUGGGGAUGCUGGAGAUUAUUACUGUCAGCAGUAUCAGAGCUGGCCUCUCACAGUGCUACAGCCCCGUACAAAAACCUCCCUGCUCUGCUCAGUCCUGCUGCUCCCGGCACCAGCUGCUUCCUGCACAGUCGCAGGCCAGGGACUCUCCUGCCCCGUCACAGCAGGGCCUGGGGCUGCUCAUGUGCAUGCACUUCACCCACCACUGCUGCCCAUCAGUGACUAUCUCAGUAGGAUCUCACAGGUGUCCUCAGCUGUUUUGUUUGUAUGAAACUCAGCUGAUUCAUUUGGAUGG